UCUGAUUUAAAAAUGUUUUAUUUACAUGCAAAGUUAUUGAGCCUAUAGAGACUUUUAUUUUGAAAUGACGGACUGCCGCGAAGAUCGCGCAUGCACGGAUAUCGAGCACAUGGGGAGAUCGCUCGUGCACGGAGAGAAGGAGCAACACGGUCACGGAGUCAAAACGUUAAAUAUAAGAUUAAAGCAGCUAAAAAGUAAUUUAGAGUAUUAAUAGUUGCCUGAUUAGUGUAGCACACGGUUUAUUUUGGUUUAUUUUUGGAUAUUUUUGGUUAGUUGUGUGUUUUUGGCCUUCUUUUAUUUUAGUACCUGGUUGAAAGAGGCACAAAGCUCUUACGGUGUUGUGGACUCAAAAAAGGCAAUGUGAAGUGAAAUAAGGUGCAUUUUAAGGAAAAUAAAA